AACUUUCGGCAAUGGAUCGCUUGGUUCUGGCAUCGAUGAAGAACGCAGCGAAAUGCGAUAAGUAAUGUGAAUUGCAGAAUUCAGUGAAUCAUCGAAUCUUUGAACGCACAUUGCGCCCUCUGGUAUUCCGGAGGGCAUGCCUGUUCGAGCGUCAUUACACCCCUCAAGCUUUCUUGCUUGGUGUGGGGGGAGCUCGCCCCAGUUUUGGGGCGCCCCCGAAAAUCAGCGGCGGUGCAGCCGAUAGUCUCUAGCGCAGUGACAUAACUUUCUCGCUACGGAUUUUCGGGGCAAACACCACGCCGAAAACUCUUAUAUCUUUAGUAAAUUGACCUCGGAUCAGGUAGGAAUACCCGCUGAACUUAAGCAUAUCAAUAAGCGGAGGCU
rnacentral:misc_RNA from 1 species